GCGCCGGUGGUGUAAGGGGUAGCAUCGCUGCCUGGAAAGUAGAAGGUGUGGGUUCGAGCUCCGCUCGGAGCA
rnacentral:tRNA from 1 species